rnacentral:snRNA from 1 species
UUGUUUCGGCAGCACAAAUACUAAAAUUGGACCAAUAGAAGAUUAGCAUGGCCCCUACAUAAGGAUGAUAUACAAAUUUGUGAAGUGUUCCAUAUUUUA